AGUGGCGGACGGGUGAGUAACGCGUGAGAACAUGCCCUUAGGUUCGGGACAACAGUUGGAAACGGCUGCUAAUACCGAAUGUGCCGAGAGGUGAAAGAUUAAUUGCCUAGGGAUUGGCUCGCGUCAGAUUAGCUAGUUGGUGGAGUAAUGGUUUACCAAGGCGACGAUCUGUAUUUGGUCUGAGAGGAUGACCAGACACACUGGGACUGAGACACGGCCCAGACUCCUACGGGAGGCAGCAGUGGGGAAUUUUCCGCAAUGGGCGAAAGCCUGACGGAGCAAUACCGCGUGAGGGAGGACGGCUUUUGGGUUGUAAACCUCUUUUAUCAGGGAAGAAACAAAUGACGGUACCUGAUGAAUCAGCAUCGGCUAACUCCGUGCCAGCAGCCGCGGUAAUACGGAGGAUGCAAGCGUUAUCCGGAAUUAUUGGGCGUAAAGCGUCCGUAGGUGGUUUUUCAAGUCUGCUGUCAAAGCGUGGAGCUCAACUCCAUAACGGCAGUGGAAACUGGGAGACUAGAGUGCGAUAGGGGUAACGGGAAUUCCCAGUGUAGCGGUGAAAUGCGUAGAGAUUGGGAAGAACACCAGCGGCGAAAGCGCGUUACUGGGUCUGCACUGACACUGAGGGACGAAAGCUAGGGGAGCGAAAGGGAUUAGAUACCCCUGUAGUCCUAGCUGUAAACGAUGGA
rnacentral:rRNA from 1 species